rnacentral:rRNA from 1 species
AUUGAACGCUGGCGGCAUGCCUUACACAUGCAAGUCGAACGGUAACAGGUCUUCGGAUGCUGACGAGUGGCGAACGGGUGAGUAAUACAUCGGAACGUGCCCGAGAGUGGGGGAUAACGAGGCGAAAGCUUUGCUAAUACCGCAUACGAUCUCAGGAUGAAAGCAGGGGACCGCAAGGCCUUGCGCUCACGGAGCGGCCGAGGGCAGAUUAGGGAGUUGGUGGGAUAAAAGCUUACCAAGCCGACGAUCUGUAGCUGGUCUGAGAGGACGACCAGCCACACUGGGACUGAGACACGGCCCAGACUCCUACGGGAGGCAGCAGUGGGGAAUUUUGGACAAUGGGCGCAAGCCUGAUCCAGCCAUGCCGCGUGCAGGAUGAAGGCCUUCGGGUUGUAAACUGCUUUUGUACGGAACGAAAAGACUCUGGUUAAUACCUGGGGUCCAUGACGGUACCGUAAGAAUAAGCACCGGCUAACUACGUGCCAGCCGCCGCCGUAAAAC